UUUUACUGAUUUUUACAGAGGAAAUCACCAAUAAUCUUAGGGAGAGCUCCGACCGGAUCCUUCCUUUGUCAGGUUCACCAGCGGCAGGAGUGUGGAGGGUGACGCAUGCCCUGGCCGGCCUGGACUGCGCACAGCUGGUUCAUUACGGCGUGCUCCUGGAAAUACCUUGGAUCAAGAAACCCUCAGCAAAGCCCAGCAUCACAAAUCACAAAUCAGAACUCUAGCAGCAGGCUAAUUCCCUGUCUUUAACAGAGGAAUGGGCACAGUGCUUGGCUGUCCGGCAGGAAAUAAUGAGAAAAUCUGAAGAAAACA